rnacentral:rRNA from 1 species
UACGGGGGGAGCAAGCGUUGUUCGGAUUUACUGGGCGUAAAGGGCGCGUAGGCGGUCGUGACAAGUCACUUGGGAAAUCUCCGGGCUUAACUCGGAACGGUCAAGUGAUACUGUCGGACUAGAGUACAGAAGGGGCAACUGGAAUUCUCGGUGUAGCGGUGAAAUGCGUAGAUAUCAUUUGGAACGCCAAUGGUGAAAACAGGUAGCUGGGGCUGUGCUGACACUGAGACACGAAAGCCAGGGGAGCGAACGGG